GGACUUCGGGAGGCCCGGAUGACUCGGGGCUCUUGGGGACUGGGGGGAUCGCGGGGGCCUGAGGGACUCGAGGGUCUUGGGGGCGUCUCAGGAGCCCGGGGGACUCGGGGCACCGGGGUCGUGGCCCACUGGCAUCGGCUCCCCAAGAACUGACGCCCUGGCUCUACGUUUUCUGGGGCACACACCGACGCUGGACGUGUGAAUGCGACGAAACCUAAACGAGCGAGGAACGCGGUAGCGGAUCUCGGCGGCGGGGUGCGAGGGGGAGGCUCAAACUCCGCCCCUCCUGCUCCCCACAGCCUGCGAGGCGAGGCCAGGCCUGCGUCCCCAAGCCUGUUGAGGCCUCGCGCCCACCCAGAGGCUCCGAAGGCGUCUGAUUCCUGCCUGCUGGGCUCCUCCCAGCCGGCCUCAACUGCCAACCUCUCCGACCCCAUCCGCCCCUCUCUCCGUAAGCAAUAGGGCCAUUCCUUGGCCAUCACUUUUCGUCUUCUGCUUGAAAGCCUCCCCUCUCCAUUCCCAGGACCAUCUCCUAUUCCGGGCUCUUUGUUAACUCCCCGACACCCCGCCCUCCCUGGAGCUUGCCCGCCACCCCUUGCUCUUCCUCCCUGGAGUCUCUUUUAGGGUCGCCUAGCUUGUUGCUUGCAUGGAUCCCUCUGAUGACACAGACAUUUCCAGUCCAACUUCUGUCUCAAUUCCAGACUGACAUUUCCAAUCAAUUGUGAAAUGUCCACCUGCACGAUUCCAGAUGUGUCAAACUUAGCAUGUCCAAAAAUCAGAAACUCUCCUCAUCUUCUCUGUAAGUACAUCCAUCCUCACUGUGCUGUGCCAGAGGGCAGCCUGCACCCUGACUCCCCCCAGACUCCAGAAACGGGAGUGGCUGGGAGCCAAGAGCUGGGCUGACCUGUUGCUUUGGAGUGUGAAACAGCACAAGGGGCAAACGUGAGGUCAAAGCCAAGAGAUGGUCAAAGGACUUGUUAAAUCCCAGGAACACAGGGCAGAGAAGAAAAAGCCUAAGGUGAGGCAGAGGGUUGCACCCGUGCGGUAGGAGCUUGAGUCAAGGGGUAGGUGGAGACAAGCCCUCUGGCAUCUGACUGAGGAGCGGAUUGAUAAGGGUGGCGCAGCUGGAUGUUUACCACUAUAAUUUCUGUUAACAGUGUGGCCACUCCCUCAGGUAACACCUGACCGUGCGUCCUGGUAAACCUUUGUAGGUGUGACCACGUGCCACUGUUCGAAGCGCUUGACCACAUAUGAACUCCUUAAUUCCUACAACCCCAUGAGGUGGGUGGGGAAACCAAGGCACAGCAAGGCUGCUCACUAGCGUGUGGUCAAACAGCCAAUCGGUGGCAGACUUGGGUUAGAACCUAGAUGACCUGGCCCAGCAUCGCUGUUCUGGACCAUUAGCUAUUCUGCUCCUCAGUCAUCUUCUCAGAUACUUUUAACAAGUCUUAUCAUUUUUACAUAAACUUGCAAAUGUUGCAGUGUUGAAAACAAUUUUGAUUCACGAGUCUCAAUUAUGAACUGUAAGGCCCAUCUUUGAGUCAUCAGCGAGUCAGUGAGUUAGAUAAGCAGGCCUCCCAUGUCUUGGCGGCUCUUCGACAAAACCUCUGGGAUAAUUAGGACUCUCCGGCUCCAGUCAUCUGCUGAACCACAGGACAGCUCUGCAAAGCUUUGCUCGUGCUGUCCCUUCCCCUGGAUGCCUGUGCAUUCCCUCAGCCUCUCCAUCACCCUCUUACGUGGCUGGCUCCUUUUUAAAAAUCCACUGUUUUGAUAAGUCCAACUGAUCCUUUGUUUCAGGCAGACAACUAUCAUUUCUUUAGUUCUUCACUCUAGGCAAUCGUGAAGCAACUCCUUACAUUUGUACAGGGUGUUAACAUUUACCAAGUGCUUUACUUUUUAGUAUCAAAAGUUGUGUUCCCAACAAUUUUGUGAUGUGCUAAUGUGAGAUUACAGGCUGGCUUCUCCCCGAAGUCACAUGGCUCUGAGGGGCAAACGGGACGGAAUCCUACUGCCCUGUAAACACAGUCCUUAUAUAUAGACAGUACGUGGAGGGCACAGAAUUCUUCAAAAUGUGGAUAUUGUAAAAUGUCAAUAUAUGUGAUGUUGGUUUUACGCAUAACAAUUGAAGUCUACUUGUUCACAUAAAAGAGAAUAGGAACCAUUUAUUGAAAGAAAGAAAAAACAGGACGCUGGACGAAGAGCAAGUAUAUUAACGUUUGCAUCAGAGAAGAAAUGUGAGAGAAUUUUAUAAAUCCUGCCAGUGAGAGACGGACAGGUCUUUGGCAUUUUUACUAUUCUCUCAUGAGUUUGGAAUCUCACUUCCCUCAAACAAUAGACACUCGUGACGGUGAAGAGUCCGAGGCCCAGAUCCACAUCCUGGCUCUGCCCCUGCAAGUUAUGUGAACUCUGGCAGGAGACUCAGCUCUUAGCCCUGGCCCCUCUUCUCCAAAUGGGGACAGAAUGCCCACCUCUGAAGCAUCGUCCUUGGUGACCGACUAAGACACAUGCGCAAAAGCAUUAGGCGUAAAGUAAGAGGUGUUAAUAUGAUGACGAUCACUAAUAAAUUUUUAUAUGAAAACCUUAUCGGGUCAGCGCAGUGUAUUAAAUGCCAGAUUUAGCAGAGAUUCUCAGUUCCCACAUGUAAUGAAAUCGUCGCUCAGAGGGGUUCAUGUGGAUCUGAGUUAUUUGCUACUUGCAAGGGCGAGGACUAGCACGUGAGUAGAAGAGACGCAUGGACCAGCCUCUGCUCCUAGUCAUCGGUGCGUGUGACAUUGGGAAGGGGCUCAGGGAACACCAGGCCACGUGCCAGGAGCUGCUCAGCCACCAGGCGGGUCUGAACGCCCAAGCUUCGCGGGCCCAGAGCCGCACUCCCGUGAGGAGUUACCUUGCAUCCCACAGCACCUGUGUGUUGAUGAGAAUCAACGUCCUUCCCAUCCCACCUGCACUUUGCCCGGCUGAGCGUGGCUUCCUGGGGGCAGGUGUGUGUCCCGGGCCACUAAGAGCGAGCCACUCAUCCAAGAACAGGCUGCUGGUCUCUGGGGGCCUCUCCUCACUGCCACCUGCAGUGUGGGCAGCUCACCAAUUCUUGAGCUGAUUUCAACCAUGUCUGGAGGUGUCUGGUUACUGGACUCCUCAGAGGGGGAGGCUUGUGGUGGACGACACCCAAGGGUGCCCUGCGGGGCUUCCUGGCAACCUCAGCCCAGCUUGUUUUCCAGGCUCCAUUUUGUGGAAUGGGGCUCCUUGGUUGGACUUUCCCGUUGCUAUAAUCCUGACGUGCAAAGUACAUCUUGCAGCAGCAUCUGUGCUGGGGAAGUGUGACCAGGCUUCUUGCCUAAGAGGAGACUUUCUGUGAGAUUAGUCACUUAGCCAUAGGUCGCUGUCCAGUAUGGAAGCGUUAGAACAGCUCCAGCGCAUAUGUGGUCACUCCCAGAAACCGUUCUGGCCCAGACAUCUGACAUGGAUCUGUGCUGCUCUGGGCAGUUGUCUAGAUGUUCCCUGGGUCCAUCGUAUUUCCCAAAGAGAUUGCCUCUUGGAGAGCAGGGAGGGCGUCACGGCCUUCCACCAUUCCUCACAGUAAGCAGCAGCACCCUGAGCGUUCCAGAAUGGUUGGAACCGGGCAGAUGGAAAGCCGCAGUGGGGGCCCUGACAUUGGGACUCUGGCCUAGUACGGCUCAGGUUGUCCCACUGAGCCAUACCGCAGGUGAGGGAGACUCAUGGACCUUGCUUACGACAGCCAGGGUGGAUGCCUUGGCCGGAGUGACGAGGGACACAGAAGGUCUUGUGUUCUGAGGCUGCAGGCCUGGACCCGAGUAGCCUGCUGCUGAUCCAGCUCGCUCGUGUAGGAAGGCCAGCUGCAGCCGAGGACCCCACAGAGCAAGCAGGAGGACACUUCACUACACCGCGGCUGCGCCCAUCCCACAGGCAAGUUCUGCCCAUCAGUACGGCUCCCCAUGCUUAGGCCCUGGUUUCUCCACCCACAGCCUGACCCAUAGCCUCCCAUCCCACGGCCUUCCAACCCUCAGUCUCCCGCCCCAUAAUCUCCUGACCCAUGGGCUCCUGACCCAGUGCCUUGGCCCAUGGCCUCUUGGCCCACGGUCUCCCGACCACGGUCUCCUGGCAUGAAUCAAUGGUGCCUCAAUGCUGGACCAGGGGACAAAAGCGGAGUCCACACAAGAGGUCUGUAUAUGUGUGUCUCUUAGUUGUUGAUGUGAUUGGUUAUGAAGGGAAGUCGCUAAAGGAUAAAGAGGAAAAAGGUUUACUUGCUAUGGUUUUCCUUUAAUAUGACACUAAAAACUCAAGGGGAAUGUCACUCUAAUGACAUUACUUGGUCCGUCCACCAGGACUGCUGUAACAAAGAACCACAGAUUGGGAGGCUUCAAAAGGACAGGUGUUUAUUUCCACCAUUCUGGAGGCUGGAAGUCAAGAUCAGGACGCUGGCAUGGUUGCAUUCUGGACCUUCUUCCUGGUUCGUAGAAGUCUCCUUCGUGCUGCGUGCCUUCCUUGCUGUGGAAGGGGCAUGGGAGCUCCCUGGGGAUAAGGACACCAUCCCAUCACAUGAGCUGUACCUCCUCAUACCAUCAUACUGGGGAUUGGGUCUUCAACAUAUGAAUUCUGGGGAGACACAUUCAGUCCAUAGUACCUAGCAAGUGGAUUUUGUUAAUGGAACCACUUAUUCGCACAGCGUCUGUCAACCCAAUUCUGUGAGUCUUGUUGGAUCUGAAAUGCAGCAACAGGACAGACGUCAUCUUAACUUGGCAGGGGCGUGACUCCAUCAGCGGUACACCCUCAUUCCACGGAGGCGGUGAUAGCAUUAGAACGACCCUCAGAGGGGGCCCUGUAACAUGCUCUUCGGAACUACACAGUGGUUUAAGACUGUGGGCUCUGCUUUUGAGACUGUCACCACCCCACAUGAUCUUGGGCAAGGCAUUAAGCAUUAGUUUCUUCACUUAUAAAUUGGGGGUAGUAAUGAUGCCUACAGAAUAGGGUUGUGUGAGGAUAAGUUGGUAAGUGUAAAGCAUUUGUCGUCGUGCCUGGUACGUAGUGGGUAUUCAGGAAAACUACGUUAGUGUUAUCUGGAUGCUUCCUGAUGCUUGGUUACAAUAAUAUUCCCUGGAUUUUAUUCUGUUUAUAUCCUCAUUUAACCUUAUAUAAUAAUUGCAAGGCAGGUACCUCUAUUACAUGCCAAGUAACUGUUACUUCUCACAACAGCUUAGGCAGGUGGGCGUACUGUCUCUGUUUUACAGAUGAGAGCAUUGAUUUCGGAGAGGUCGAGUGGUCUGUUUGCUGUCACCCAGCUCCUGAGUGGCAAGGCUGGGAACGAAUCCAAAGCCACUUUUCCUGCUGCGCUGCAUUUGAGGAGUAACUUUGUUCUUGACCUCUUUAGAGUUACUACUUUCGUAUUCAAAUGGAGAUGCGAGAUGGAAUGCACUUGGGGUCAUAUGCUGCAAACGACCCCGGGACACUGUGUUCACUAAAGCACUGACUGUGUGUGUGCGCGGGUGGGGUACAGGAAGGACGGGCAGGCAGGACCGUGCUGCCUCUGCUGGGGGAAAAACACCCUUGCUCCUGCUGGCCGCUGUCAAUGGGGAGGUUUCCGGGCAUUAACUACAACACAGUAUAUGCGUCAUUCUAUUACAGGAACUCACUGUUGAAACUGUCGCCAGGUUUUACAGUUCCCGAAAGGACCUUCGGUUUUGAUGAAAUCUUGCACCCCUUUUCUAAAAGAAAAUAAAAUGCGAUAACCAAAGGUGAGGACACAGGAGAAGACGCCACGUGUGGACCAGAAAGUGGGCUCUCACUGGACGGCGGAUCUGCUCCCGCAGUGAUCUCAGACAUCCAGCCUCCAAAGAUGUCAGGAAGAGAUGCCUGUGGUUUAUAAGCCACUCCAUCUGUGGUGUUUCGUUACAGCAGCCCGAAAUGAGUAAGACACCAGGCCUACAAGACAAGUUAUUUAACCUCCCUGGCCUCCUUUCCUUCUUGUGUAAAAUGCAAGCGAUAAUGCCAAUUCCUCUGUGCAUCCUACGUAACUGGGACACAAAAGGCAGGUGGUGUGUGCUUGUGAAGACAGGCGCCCUGGGGGCAUAGACACCAGGAGGGGACCCUUCCACCCCUGCCAGCUGCACACCCGAGCACAGGGCAGCUCAGCGGGGGCCCGGGGGCCGCAACUCUGGAGACUAGCUCAGCUCAUCUACUUCUCGUAACUUCUGAAAGCACCGUGGCUAAGAGAGCAAUGCAAGGUGUCCGGAAACCAGUCUGCUCACCGUAUGCUUUGCUUCUUCCAAAUCAACCCGUGCCCAGGUCAAGGGUACUGGCUCCGGACAGGGAUGGUGUGGAUUGCUGCAGAGAACAAGAGCGUCGUGCAGCAUGAAACGGCCAGGAUCCCCCUUAGAGUUCACAGCCCUCCCGCAGCAUCAGCUUCUGGGAACACACUGAACCCCUCAGUAGCUCAGCAUCUUCUGUAUCUAGCUGUGCGAGAGACGGAGCUGAAGCAGACUCUUACUUCCUUGUGUAUGAAAUUCCCAGGGUGCCUGGGUGGCUCGGUCGUUGAGCAUCUGUCUUUGGCUCAGGUCAUGGUCCCGGGGUCCUGGGAUCGAGCCCCUACAUCAGGUCCCUGCUCAGGGGGGAGCCUGCUUCUCUC